CAAAACUAUGUGGGCAUGUCUAAAUGUUCUAUAAAGCUAGUAAUAUUCGACGGAAUAAAGAAUUGAGCAAUUGGUUCGAUACUCGUUUGUUUAUGCUACUGUUGUAUGAGCAAAAGUGCCUUGUGCGUCUGCCUACAGUGGCUUUAAAUGACAGUAAGUCCUGAUGUCACAGGGCACUCCCCAAAAACAGCCGCUGUUCCACGGCUAUUCUGUGCCUUCCACCUUCUUCGCAUUUACAGUUAAAGUCCAGCCACAGAGUCUGCAGCGACGCCCUUUGUGUGGCCCACUACUCCCUGCCUCAGCCCCCAGAAGAUGAAUUUCAUAGGAAAACAAUUGAAAAAGGAGGAAGAAGAACAGAUCCUGGACUAGGGGUAGGGGUAGAACAGCUGUUCGAACAGCUGAGAACGGCAUUGGGUAAUGGGGCCUCUGCCUGUACCGGCCCCGCGACCCCCUGCGUGUCACAGUCACAGCAUCAAGCGUUCUCUGGCAAAUGGCACAAAGCUUCCUGGGUGAAUCCGUAGGCGUCAACGAUACCGGGGACUCGGUAAAGCCUCGCAAGACAAGACCGGAGUGCAACGGAUCACUGUCAACGGAGAGCGUUGUUCCGUGGAGCUGCAUCGUCUGUCGCAGUUCACAGACAUCCGGGCCGUGUGGACACCGGAUGCGAAAGUGCUGCACAAUCACACGGCAGAGUUGCCCAAAGCAACUGCUUGUUGUGCCACAAGCAUCUGAUUCUACUGGAGAGCCAGGAGAACUACGGCGUGUGUUCGGCCUGUGGGCCAGAUCAUUUCACGUGCACGGCCCCAGUGACGGGGAAUGGUGACAUGAAUAAGGACUUCGUACCCGCAUCCUGGCACUGUGAUGGCCAAAAUGACUGCCCGGACAAGUCGGAUGAAGUGGGAUGUCCCACAUGACGGGUGGAUCAGUUCAGCUGCCAGUCCGGCGAGUGCUUCGACAAGGCUCUGAUCUGCUAUGGUACCACCUUUGAAAACUGUGAGAAUGUCCACGAUGAGGCCGACUACUCCCAUCAACACGCUUUGCAUAUCGGCCGCCCUGCUCUCCGAUGGCUGACAGGACUGUGCCGAUGGUGCGGGCGAUUCGUUCGGCGCAUUGCCCUGCCUAUGAUAUUCUUGCGCUCCGGGAAAAUCCGCACAGAGCCAAUAUAUCGAGUUCUAAUAGCUCCAUCGAAGAAAUUAAAUAAGGCAGUAAGCAGGAAGCACGCCGUCAAGCACUCCCUUUUAAAGACUUUGAAAAUGCAAUAGAGAACCUGCCGGAUAUUGCAUUUCAGGUGCAACGCGACCAAGCUGCGGAUGAAGAUGGAGCGAAAAGACACUGGACGAGUGUGCCAGACACAAUCAAAAUCAAUAGUACAUCAUCCCAUCUAUUAAAGCCCUUCGGCCGAGCGUCAGACUUUACACAAGCGCAGAGCUAACGGGAACAGCCACGCCAUCGGUUUGGAGGAGAAGCGUUUCCGAUCCGACAACAACAACAACAGCAACAACCGGCAGCUGCCGAGGUAGAUGCCACUCCACCAUCCGAGUCAUCCGAUGACUCGGGCGUCAGUUGGGAUGAGCUGAACUCGGUCAGCCGUCUCCGAUUCCUCGCGCCGCAAUAUCAACAAUAGCAACGAAAUCAAUGCAGAUUAAAUCCACGAAGCGGAUCCCCAUACCAUGCGUCGCCACCUUCCUGUCGGGCUGCGCCUUCAGCAGCAGGACGCUCUAUGUCCUGCUCUGCGGGCACCAGUCCUUCCCCUUCGGCAGGCUCCGGUUUUUCUGCCGGAUCCACUCCAACAUUUGUUGCGCUUCGUAUGUUGAUAAUGUCGUAGAUAAGCUUGAAAAGAAGCGCGAGUAUGAUGGGUCCAGCCGGGACCCCCACACAGUGGGCGCAGUGGGAAGUCCAGACGACGACGACCGGUGGCUCAGGGGUCGGUGGCUGGAAAUAUCUGUAUGCCUUCUGGCCGACUUUCACCACAGCCGCAAUACACUCGGAAAUCAUCUUACAGGAAGGCACUUUAUUCGCUAUUUGGAAAAAGAAAACUACUAUGAUUCGAAUUAAACUGUUUUCAAUUGAAAUCGCACCUCUGGAAAGAACACCAAUAGCUCCCUGAGGCUCUGAUUCGUUCGACACGAAGACUGCAUCCCGUAAUUAAAUGAAGACCACGAAAUUUCGUUAACUGGAACAAAAAA